rnacentral:rRNA from 1 species
UACAGAGGUCUCAAGCGUUGUUCGGAUUCAUUGGGCGUAAAGGGUGCGUAGGUGGCGGGGUAAGUCAGGUGUGAAAUUUCGGAGCUUAACUCCGAAACUGCAUUUGAUACUGCCUUGCUUGAGGACUGGAGAGGAGACUGGAAUUCACGGUGUAGCAGUGAAAUGCGUAGAGAUCGUGAGGAAGACCAGUGGCGAAGGCGGGUCUCUGGACAGUUCCUGACGCUGAGGCGCGAAAGCUAGGGUAGCAAACGGG